ACGAACGCUGGCGGCGUGCCUAAUACAUGCAAGUAGAACGCACAGUUUAUACCGUAGCUUGCUACACCAUAAACUGUGAGUUGCGAACGGGUGAGUAACGCGUAGGUAACCUGCCUGGUAGCGGGGGAUAACUAUUGGAAACGAUAGCUAAUACCGCAUAAUAUUGAUUAUUGCAUGAUAAUUGAUUGAAAGAUGCUAUUGCAUCACUACCAGAUGGACCUGCGUUGUAUUAGCUAGUAGGUGAGGUAACGGCUCACCUAGGCGACGAUACAUAGCCGACCUGAGAGGGUGGACGGCCACACUGGGACUUAGACACGGCCCAGACUCCUACGGGAGGCAGCAGUAGGGAAUCUUCGGCAAUGGACGAAAGUCUGACCGAGCAACGCCGCGUGAGUGAAGAAGGUUUUCGGAUCGUAAAGCUCUGUUGUAAGAGAAGAACGGGUGUGAGAGUGGAAAGUUCACACUGUGACGGUAUCUUACCAGAAAGGGACGGCUAACUACGUG
rnacentral:rRNA from 1 species